rnacentral:rRNA from 1 species
UACGAAGGGGGCUAGCGUUGCUCGGAUUGACUGGGCGUAAAGGGCGCGUAGGCGGUUCGUACAGUCAGACGUGAAAUUCCUGGGCUCAACCUGGGGGCUGCGUUUGAUACGUGCGGACUUGAGUGCGGAAGAGGGUCGUGGAAUUCCCAGUGUAGAGGUGAAAUUCGUAGAUAUUGGGAAAGAACACCGGUGGCGAAGGCGGCGACCUGGUCCGAUACUGACGCUGAGGCGCGAAAGCGUGGGGAGCAAACAGGAUAGAAACCCCGUAG